rnacentral:lncRNA from 1 species
ACUGUCGGACGAUCCUCUAUCGGAUUCCUCAUGAAAUUGGACCUCUCCGACGGGCAAUCUACAGACGAGCUUCUACAUCAGGCAAAUUCCAGAUGGACUCUCCUAGCAACUGGACUCUUACCGGACUUCUGCAAUAGAAAGUCUCCAUCUGAGCUUCUACAGUGGAUGAUUUUCACCUGCAACAUCAGUGCCCAAUCAGUGCCUAAGGCACCCGACAAUAGUGGAUUCGUCGGC